AUAUCACCAGUUCUUAUUCAAUCACAGACGUUAAGCAACAUCGGGUCUGGUCAGUACCUAGAUGAGUGACUGGUUGGGAAUACCAGGUGCUGUAA